rnacentral:misc_RNA from 1 species
AACAUCGCGCACCUGCGGGAACCUGCGGAAGGAUCAUUACAGGACUCGCAAGACUCCUUAAACCCCUGUGAACUUACUGUUUAUACGUUGCUUCGGCGGGUGCUCCGGGGUCCGCCCCGGGGCGCUGCGCCCGCCGGCAGCCUACUUAAUUCUGUUUCUCUGCGUUGGCAUCUCGAGUAAGCAAAAUAAGUUAAAACUUUCAACAAUGGAUCU